rnacentral:rRNA from 1 species
AUUGAACGCUGGCGGCAUGCUUUACACAUGCAAGUCGAACGGCAGCGCGGGCUUCGGCCUGGCGGCGAGUGGCGAACGGGUGAGGAAUGCAUCGGAACGUGCCCAGUAGUGGGGGAUAGCCCGGCGAAAGCCGGAUUAAUACCGCAUACGACCUGAGGGUGAAAGCGGGGGACCGAAAGGCCUCGCGCUAUUGGAGCGGCCGAUGUCGGAUUAGCUAGUUGGUGGGGUAAAGGCUUACCAAGGCGACGAUCCGUAGCUGGUCUGAGAGGACGACCAGCCACACUGGGACUGAGACACGGCCCAGACUCCUACGGGAGGCAGCAGUGGGGAAUUUUGGACAAUGGGGGCAACCCUGAUCCAGCCAUGCCGCGUGCGGGAAGAAGGCCUUCGGGUUGUAAACCGCUUUUGUUCGGGAAGAAAUCCUCUGGGCUAAUACCCCGGGGGGAUGACGGUACCGGAAGAAUAAGCACCGGCUAACUACGUG